rnacentral:rRNA from 1 species
CCUACGGGUGGCAGCAGUGGGGAAUAUUGCACAAUGGGGGAAACCCUGAUGCAGCGACGCCGCGUGAGUGAAGAAGCGUUUCGGCGCGUAAAGCUCUGUCAGCGGGGAAGAAACACGGUUCGCGAGAGCCGCGGACGGUACCCGACCAAGAAGCCCCGGCUAACUACGUGCCAGCAGCCGCGGUAAUACGUAGGGGGCAAGCGUUAUCCGGAUGCACUGGGGGUAAAGGGAGAGUAGACGGCGAGACAAGGCUGGAGUGAAAGGCAGGGGCCCAACCCCGGGACUGCUCUGGAAACUGCCUGGCUAGAGUACAGGAGAGGUAAGUGGAAUUCCUAGUGUAGCGGUGAAAUGCGUAGAUAUUAGGAGGAACACCAGUGGCGAAGGCGGCUUACUGGACUGUAACUGACGUUGAGGCUCGAAAGCGUGGGGAGCAAACAGGAUUAGAUACCCCAGUAGUC